GACGAACCGUGCGAACGUUAUUCGGAAUCACUGGGCUUAAAGCGCGUGUAGGCGGGCGGGACGUCGGAGUCUGAAAGCCCCGGCUCAACCGGGAAGUGGAUCCGAACGCCCGCCUGGAGGACGUAGGGGACCUGGAACUUCCGGUGGAGCGGUGAAAUGCGUUGAGAUCGGAAGGAACGCCCGUGGCGAAGCGAGGUCCUGGACGUCUGCUGACGCUGAGACGCGAAAGCCAGGG
rnacentral:rRNA from 1 species